UACGUAGGGUGCAAGCGUUGUCCGGAAUUAUUGGGCGUAAAGAGCUCGUAGGCGGUUUGUCGCGUCUGCUGUGAAAACUCGGGGCUUAACCCCGGGCCUGCAGUGGGUACGGGCAGACUUGAGUGCGGUAGGGGAGACUGGAAUUCCUGGUGUAGCGGUGAAAUGCGCAGAUAUCAGGAGGAACACCGGUGGCGAAGGCGGGUCUCUGGGCCGUAACUGACGCUGAGGAGCGAAAGCGUGGGGAGCGAACAGG
rnacentral:rRNA from 1 species